rnacentral:lncRNA from 1 species
UGAAUUAUGGUGGGCAGGCUUUUUUUAGACAGAUGCACAGUUGUUACAUGGUCAUUUUAUUUAUCAAUAGAUUUAACAACAUUCGGUGAUGUUCAAAGAAAGAUAUUUUUUUAUUUUUAUAACUCGAUUGAUGCUUCUCCUGAACUUGUUACGACUUGGAUUUCAUUAUUCUAUUUAAGAUAUAUUCUCUAACAUAUUGACUCCAUUCAACUAAUGAGGUGACUUCUGAAGGCAGUUGGUUACACCAGACCUUAUUCAGUGUUAUAGAAAGAGGGGAACUGGGGAGAAUAUUUAUGUAACAAUUUAUAUAUUUAUUCAUUGUGUAAAAAUAAAAUAUUUUGCCUCUUAAACGUAUUAUCAAUGCAUAAAUAAAUUAAAUGAUAAAGUCAAUUAGAAUCAAUUUUAAUUCUAGCUGCACCCCUACCAAAUAUUUAAAGAUGCACUCCACACUCCCAAAUGCAUUUCAGCUUGGUAAAGUGCUUUAUAGAUAAGGAGUAUUCUAGUUUAAUCCCAGUUUUUUUUAAAGUGCAGAUUUCUAUGAGAAAUCAGCACUUUUAUAGAUGAACUAGGGAACACCCCCAGGGUCUCCCGUUAGCUCCCCUAAACUAAAGGAAGUGGCAGACACGCUCUACUUGAGUGUGCCUGCCUUCUCCUAUACAGACCUCAGAUCAGAUGUGUGUAUGUGCACAAACCAGCGUACUGUUCAAUGAGAAGCCUCAAUGAGAAGCUUCUGAUUGGUUGACUGAAAGUUUCUUCUGGGAAAAUGGGGAGAGCUUGCUUAGGCUGCAGUUCAUAAGAUCUGCAGCCUUUGCAAACUAUUUUUAAGAUAUGCCCCAAUAAAUAUGCAUAAUAAGUUCAUGCAUGCAUUUGUUGGGGGUAUAUCUACUAAAUAGCGAUUUCCCUUUUUUUUUUUUUUUUUGCCCAUUUGGGCAGUGGAGUGUUCCUUUAAGCAUUUCCAUGAGAUGAAUAAUGCAAAGCAUUGCAAAUGGUCACUUGGCUUAUUUAUGACUAUGUAAGAGGAGCUGAUCCUCGAGACAAAUCAGAUGAUUUGCGUGCUAGAGUAUGUGAAGAAUAUUUCAUAUUAAUGCUUACUUAAAGCAUCUUCAGAUGUUGUGGACUACAUCUCCCAUAAUGCUUUGCCACCAUUAUGGCUUUAUGGGAGAUGUGUUCCCAACGCUCUAGUGCUCUAGUCACCGUUUGGGUGAUCAGGCAAGAGAUGAAGGAUGUAUUUUACUUACCUUUUUCCACUCACCACUUUUUCCACUGUCUCCUUGUUCUUUUCAUGAGACCAUUGAGAUGGAUGAUCUUGUCCAAUACAAUGCUUUCUCAUAGGAAAGCAUUUGUAGUCUUGUGUGCAUGCGCAGCAAAAUGUUGCGAUGCUCCAAUCAAAGGGUCUUUUUGAUUUACAGCUGGAGAGUUUGACUGCAACUGACAGCAGCCAGAGGCAAAUUAACCAUACAAUGCAAAUCAUACUGUUCCUGUAGAAUUUCAAUGUUUUGCACUGCAUGGUUAAAACGUGGGGCACAUGUCACCCUUUCCACUUGAUUGAGAGUGGCCGGGGUGCCUAUAGUGUUCCUUUAACUAAUGUUCUGUUGAGACGCAUUUUCAAAAAGUAACUUGUUUUUUCCUGAUAUUAAAGGCUUACUUCACCCUGCACUGAGAUCCUUAGGUCAAUAUUAAAUUCUUAUUUGUCGUGGUUUUUAAAAUGUGGGACACAAAUCUGUGAUUUAUUAUUUUUCUUCUUUUUUUGUCAAAAUUCCAAGUCUCUUUGAAAUUCCUAUAUUAUAUUUGAUUCUGUGGCAUUACUAUAGUAUAGGGGCAUAAAGAGUAUAGUUUUGUAUGUUUAUUGUUAUUUAUGUAUCCAGCUAUAAUGCACUUAUACAGUUUGAGCAGAUUUAUAGAUGUGCAAGUAGAAUGAGGACUGAAAGUUAAAAGCUACUGUUUAUAAUUAUUCACUAUUUCAGUUAGUGGUCAUUGGAUGUAUUCACUUUUCUCACAACUCUAAUUAGAAACAAUAUGAAUCUCAUUGCUUUGGAAACUGGAAUCUAUGUGUAGAAAUGUAUUGUAUGUUCAUUAUCUAGUAUUUUGCUUUAGGACAGCUAAUCGUGAAUGUUUAAAUUAUUUAAUAAAAUGCACUUGAAUAUAUAGAGAACAUAACACAUGCUUAGUGUCCGAGACAGGCUGGAAAAUUCAGAUAAAGGGAAAACAUAGACCAGAAACAUAACUGAUACCCAAAUUAUCCCAACAUAGUCAAUAUAUAUUGGCCAGAUUUUUGGAUAAGAGAUAUGCGUUCAUGAAAGAGGUCUAAAAAAAGAGUACAUAGGGAUAAGUUUAAAAAAAAUCUAUAAUAAAGUUUCUAAAUGUGAAAUGAUGUCUGGGAAUAUUUAAUUUGUUUCCAUUAUAAUCUCAUUACUUUUUGCAAACACAUAUGUCUAUAUAUACCAUAGGAUUUACUUUUAUACAUAACCCAAAACUAAUCUGGCCAAAAUAAAUGGUUGCAUCAGUUCUCGGAUGUCAAAAUGAAAAGGAUUAAAGCAAUCAUAACUUUUUUUAUUGGUGAAAUCAGAGCAGCAGUAGUGGCUUCUCCUAAAACCAGCCUUCCUCUGCCUGCCCUUUACACAAUGUGAGCACAUAUGAUAUACUGGUUAUGUCUAAACUAACAUCCAACAGAGCUACAUCUUAUGUAGCCAACAAGAACACAUGAUGUUUCAAGUGUAUACAGUACCUAUAGUUGAAAGCUGUUGAUUAAUUGUGGCUGUUACUGUAAUAAAUUUUACUCUUGUAAUAUCUGUAGCCUUUGGUACAACCCUUAGUGCCUUACAAAGGUUGUAAACAUUUGUAGUCACGGUAGAAAUACAAUUUUACAUAGGAGUCUGUUGUGAUGUCAAAUUGGGUCCAUACAACAGUAUAACCAUCAGUACCUUAACUUGGCUAGUGUGUUUUAGCACAGUAAUGGGUUUAGUUUAGACUCAGGGAAUAGUGUGCACAUAUGGAUGAAACAAUGUAUCUCUGUAUUGUACAUUUUAUAGAAAAUAUCUACUGUAAAAUAAUCCACAUGUAAAUCCUGUACAAAUAUUUAUUGUAUGACAAUAUGCCAUAAUGUAUGUGAUCUAUGUUUGAUUAACCAUAUCUUUAAACUGUAAUGUUUGGUUUCGUGCUAAAUGAGUAAUUCUUAGACCAUGAAAUUGACUUUCUGUUGAUCAGUUACAAAGUUUACAAAUAUUUUUGUAAUGUGAUUAAGAUAUAAAUAUAUAUUAAAG